CAUGUACUUCCUUCGUCUGAAAAUACUUGUCCAAAGAAUGGAUGUAUCUAAAUGUAUUUUAGUUCUACAUACAUCCAUUUGUAUCCAUUUCUACGACAAGUAUUUCCGGACGGAGGGAGUAGUAC
rnacentral:pre_miRNA from 1 species